rnacentral:rRNA from 1 species
UACGUAGGGGGCGAGCGUUGUCCGGAAUCACUGGGCGUAAAGGGUCCGUAGGCGGCAGGGUUAGUCUUACGUCAAAGCCCCAGGCUCAACUUGGGAUCGGCGUGGGAUACUGCCCAGCUUGAGGGUGGCAGAGGUGAGCGGAACGUUGCAAGUAGCGGUGAAAUGCAUUGAUAUGCAACGGAACACCGAUGGCGAAGGCAGCUCACUGGGCCAUUCCUGACGCUGAGGGACGAAAGCCAGGGUAGCGAACGGG